rnacentral:rRNA from 1 species
UCCGUAGGUGAACCUGCGGAGGGAUCAUUAUAGAGCUUAAAAACUCCUAAAACCAUUGUGAACUCAUCCUAUAUCGUUGCUUCGGCAGGCGGCCCCUCGCGGGCCCUGGCGUUCCCUCACCCGGAAGGCGCCCGCCGAAGGCACAAAACUCUUCUGUAUUUUAUGGAACCUCUGAUUAAACAAGCAAAUAAAUUAAAACUUUCAACAACGGAUCUCUUGGUUCUGGCAUCGAUGAAGAACGCAGCGAAAUGCGAUAAGUAAUGUGAAUUGCAGAAUUCAGUGAAUCAUCGAAUCUUUGAACGCACAUUGCGCCCGCUAGUAUUCUAGCGGGCAUGCCUGUUCGAGCGUCAUUUCAACCCUCAAGCUCUGCUUGGUGUUGGGGUCCUACGGCUGCCGUAGGCCCUGAAAGAAAGUGGCGGGCUCGCUACAACUCCGAGCGUAGUAGAAAUACACCUCGCUAGGGAAGAGUAGUGUGCUCCAGCCGGUAAAGCCCCAAAACUUUAACCCAGGUUGACCUCGGAUCAGGUAGGAAUACCGCUGAACUUAAGCAUAUCAAUAAGGCGGGAGGGGGAAGGUCGGACUGGCCAAGGGCACACAGGGGGGGAUA